rnacentral:rRNA from 1 species
UACAGAGGUUGCAAGCGUUGUUCGGAAUUAUUGGGCGUAAAGCGCGUGUAGGCGGGAGGAUAAGUCGCGUGUGAAAUCCCUCGGCUCAACCGAGGAAGUGCGCGCGAAACUGUCUUUCUUGAGUGCCGGAGAGGGUGGCGGAAUUCCCGGUGUAGAGGUGAAAUUCGUAGAUAUCGGGAGGAACACCAGUGGCGAAGGCGGCCACCUGGACGGACACUGACGCUGAGACGCGAAAGCGUGGGGAGCAAACAGGAUUAGAUACCCUGGUAGUCCACGCCGUAAACGAUGGGUGCUAGGUGUUGCGGGUGUUGACCCCUGCAGUGCCGUAGCUAACGCAUUAAGCACCCCGCCUGGGAAGUACGGUCGCAAGACUA